UGUGAAUGGCAGCGAUGCAUCCUUUGUGAGCUGAGGCUUUUAAGAAGCUGGUGAGGCUUCCUAUGCUUUCUUUCUGCUUCUGCUGGCUAGAAACAAAGGACACUGAGGCCCUCGGGGGAUGGUAGAGCCACAGGAAGCACCCCGGGUCCUUAAAUCAACAUGCGGAGGAAAGCCAACGGCCAGCCAUGGAUACUUGCAUUGGACUUUUAAGUGAAUGAGAGCCCCAGCUCAGCCACUAGUUGGCUGUGUGAUCUCAGACAAGCCAAGCUCCAUCUCUGAGAUAUAGCUGCUUCAUUUGCAAAGUAAGAAGGUAGACGUGCAUGAUCAGCUGAAGAUGCUUCCUGCCUCAAUCCAGGACACCUGCGGCUCCAGGUCAGAGAUGCACCUGCUAGUCCUGCCUCUACAGGACCCAACCCAUCAGUUCCUAGCUUGUCCUUCUGGUGAGAAUUGAGCACACUAUACUGUGGACAUAAAGACAAGUCAAGGGAACUAGUCAGCCCUGGCUGUUGGAGAACAGUCCUUGGGAUACUCACCAGGGUCUCCACCAUGUUGGAUUUGUUGUUACGCAGUGUUUUCACGAUGUGGAACACGUCAAUGAUGUUUUGCUGCUGGAUCAUCUCACACACACUGCAGAUGGCACAGAAGGUUCCACUACGGCCUCCCCCAUUUCUAAACACAGAGCAAAGAGGAUAAUACUCAAAGGACUGCCCGUGUGGAAAUUCUGGAUCAGCCAGCUUGGGGUAGCUGUGAAGAUGAGUAGCAUCCUAGAUAUGGGAUACUGCAUGUCAAAAUACAGAGAUCUGUGGGUUGCUCCGAUGAGCUGAAUGACCCAGAAGAUAAAAGAGGAAGGUUGAGAUCACUGUAGAAGCAGUGAGAAACCAGCAAGAAACUGAGCUCGGCUCCCUGGCUCACAUAGACAUGGAACAGAGAUCACAUCUGUGAGUGGAGGAGCCAGACUUUUCAUAUAAGCACAUGUAAAACUUUUGAAGUUGGCUGAUCCAAGAAUAGAUUCAAAUUCUUCAGCCAAGAGUCUAGACCAACUGACUUUUUCCACUUCAUUGCCUAGUUGACCCUUUGGGCCCGGAGCUCACGCACGCAGUUGAAGAUGUCCACCACCCCUUCAUUCUCGGCCAUGUCAAGCAUGGUGUCAAUGGCAAUGAAGCAGCCAGUCCGCCCAGCCCCAGCACUGGAAGAGAGCAAAUGGGUUGACGGAUGGAAGCAAAGAAGGAGAGGAGAGAGAACAGAGGGGAGAUGAAUGACAGGACAGAAACGAGAGUCCUCUGAGCUGUCCCCAAGACAGAGAGUGGUUGGUGGAGCACCACGUUCAAAGGCCGGCAUCUGGCUCCACCUGCAGCUGUUUUCGCAGGAUCGUGAAGCAAGAGUGUCAUGAAACUGGAGCAGCUGACCGUCCGGAGACCCUUGUCAGGGAUCAAGUUUCUUGAUACAUACUUACUUGAUUUCUGGUCACUAGUGGCUUCUUUAGGAGAAUCUCAGACCAAGUAUAAAAUGGUAGGGGAACUCAACGAGACUCUAUGGGCCUUGGCCAGCCCUUUCUAGAUCAGUGCUGGGCUCUGAAACAUCAGUGCUGACCAAGAGGCACGUAAGACAUGUGCCUUACACAUGUGCAGUUUUGGAUGGGAAGGCCGGGCAGCCUGUCAAGGAGGCCCCCUUCCGCUGCGUUUUCACAUCUUGCCUUUCUCAUGGAAACAAGUGUCUUUGUCUAACAAUGUAGAUGUCAAAAGACACACAAAGAGGAAGAGAGAUGGAACAAGACAAAAAAGCAAUAUUGGCUCAUGGUAAAUCCAAGGGGCACAGGCCAGUGCGGACCACUACCUACAACAAUUUGGAAAGUACACCCAUUGGAAGCAGAGUCUUCAUUCAUGAGAAACUUUCAUGGUUUGAAUGAAGUCUGACUUAAGUUUGCUUCAGAACCUACUCCCCAAAAUCCAGAUGCGGGGACUCAAGAGACUUGGCCUCUGUGUCUGGGAGGGAGUAUAGGGGGGGUCACUCGUGUUUUUUUCUUCAAUGUUCAUAUUCACCAUGCUUUAGUAUAAAGAAUCAGCCCAAUUUGGUUCCAAAUUUUGGAACAACUAUCAAUCAAUCAGCGGUGACCAAGUUGCCUAGUGUCCGUUUGUUUGUUAGCUUCAGAUUUCUGAUGCUUUUAACAUACCUCCCUGCAGGGUCCUUGUGAGGACAAAGCUGUGUUUAUUUCAUUUCAGCAUCACAUAGUAAUUGAACACAGGAUAUUUGAAAAGACCCCCUAGGAUUAAAUCCUGGCUCUAUUACUUAUUAGCUGCAUGACCUCGGGCAAAUGACUUAACCUCUCUGGGUUUCAAUACUCAUCUAUAAAAUGAUGUUGAUAAUAAUUAAAAUACUCACUCAUCUAUAAAAUGAUGUUGAUAAUAAUUAAUAGAUCCACCUCACAGCAUUAAUAGCACAAUAUGUAUAAAUUGGAUGAAAUUACAAUUAAAAUGCAUAAUGCAUACAAAUUGCUUUGUGCCUGGAUACAUAGCCAUUUUUUAUUGAGAAAUUAUUACUAUUAUAUUCAACAAAUAUUUAUUGAAAAUCUAAGAUGCAGUAGAUGCUGGUAUUAGGAGUGGGAAUAUGAAAACAAACAAACAUUGUUCCUGUCCUGAAGGAUUAAUAAAUAAUCUGGGGAGGGGGAGAAAGAAAACAUUAAGAGGAGGCAGAGAAUAAUGAUAUAUUAGAGUGCUUACUAUAUGUCAGGCAUUCUCUCUUAGGCACUUAGCCAACCCAUUUGGUAAUAAUUUUCAGAAUGGCCCCAGGAGUGGGUACCACUCUGCUCAGAUGCAUUAAGAUGACCUGCUAAGGAGACACAUACCGGCGUAGAGCCAUCAUGCGCCGAAGUCCUGAUGAUAAACAAACAUUUGCCAUUGUCUUUCUUUCUUUCUCCCUAACCCUUGAUCUGGGUGCUCUUUGGGAUAUAGAGAUGGGGGGCAUUAAUGAUCCAUUGCCCUUUGAUUGCUAUGAGAUAUAAAGCAAAGCAGAAAAUACAUGCAAAACAUUUAGAGAGUCCAGGAUUACCUCCUCAUCCUCACUUGCCUUAUCUGUGAAAUGGGGUUGUGUAGCUACUAUUGCUGGGAAG
rnacentral:lncRNA from 1 species